rnacentral:rRNA from 1 species
ACUUUUGGCAACGGAUAUUUCGACUCUCGCAUCGAUAAAGAAUAUAGCAAAAUAUGAUACUUAGUGUGAAUUGCAGAAUCCCGUGAACCAUCGAGUCUUUGAAUGCAAGUUGCACCCAAAGCCAUUAGGCUAAGGGCACGUUGCCUGGUUAUCACGCAUCGUGUCACCCCCUUGCAUCGCACCUCAAUCACAGGGUAUGCUGUCAUUGCGGGGUGGAUACUGGCCUCCCAUGCACGUCGAGCUCACGGUUGGACUAAAUAUGAGUCCACAUCGAUGGAUGUUGCGGCAAGUGGUGGUUGUAACUUAACUCUCUUCGUUGUUGUGGCUACAGCCCAUUGUGCGUCCGGACUCCAGGACCUUAUUGCGCUUAGGCGCUCCAAUAGCAACCCCAUGUCAGGCAGGAUUACCCGUUGAGUUUAAGCAUAUCAAUAAGCUAAGAAAAAGAAACUUACAAGGAUUCCCUUAGUAAGAGUGAGCAAAAAGAGAAUAGCGCAGCCUUAGAAUCGAGCAUCUCUGUCAUCUGAAUUAUAGUCUGGAGAAGCGUCCUCAGUGGCGAACCGAGCCCAAGUCCCCUGGAAAUGGGCGUCAGAGAUGGUAAGGGCCCCAUUAUGCCUAGACCCUAUCGCACCAUGAGGCGCUAUCUACUAGUCGGGUUGUUUGGCAAUGCAUCCCAAAUCAAGCGAUGAAUUUUGUCUAAGGCUAAAUACGGGUAAGAGAUAGAUAGCAAACAAGUACCGAAAGGGAAAGUGAAAAGGACUUUGAAAAGAGAUUCAAAGAAUGCUUGAAAUUAUUGGGAGGGAAGUGGAUGAGGGUCAGUGAUGAGCCCCGGUCAGAUAUGGAACGGCGACAAGCUGAUCUGCCCAUCGACUUAGGGCAUGGACCAACAUCAAUUUGGGGCAUUACAAAAGCCCAGGAUCUCAAUACGAUCGUGGAACGUCGUCUCCUCAAUUAUGGAAGGUAGUGCGUACCUCUACCAUGCUUCAGAAUUUUUGUAUUUCGGACACUGGCCUGUAGGUUCCCCAUUCAACCCGUCUUAAAACACGGAUUAAGGAGUCUGCCAUGUGUGCGAGUCAAUGAGCGAGUAAACCCGUAAGGCUUAAGGAAGUUGAUUGGUGGGAUCCCUCAAAGGGAUGCACCAUCAACCGACCUUAAUAUUCUAAGAAGGGUUCGAGUGUGAGCAUACCUAUCGGGACCUGAAAUAUGGUAAACUAUACCUGAGCGGGGUAAAGCCAGAGGAAAUUCUGGUAGAGAACCGCAGCGAUACUGACGUGCAAAUUUUUUAUCUUACUUGAGUAUAGGGGUGAAAGUCUAAUCAAACCGUCUAGUAGCUGGUUUCCUCUGAAUUUUCAUUCAGGAUAGCUGGAGCUCGCGUGAGAGUUCUCUUAGGUAAAGCCAAUAAUUAGAGGCCUCAGGAGCACAAUGCAUUCGACUUAUUCUCAAACUUAAAAUAGGUAGGACGGCGUAGAUGCUUUGUUGAGCCGCACCUAGGUAUCAAGAGCUCUAAGUAGGCCAUUUUUUAUUAGUAGAACCGGCGAUGCGUGAUGAAACGGAAGCCGGGUUACGAUGCAAAACUUUAUGCUAAUCUGGAUCCCACAAAGGGUGGCGGUCGAUUAAGACAGUAGGACAGUGUUUAUGUAAGUCAAAAUCCUCCAAGGAGUGUGAAACAACUCACCUGUAGAAUCAAAUAGACCCAAAAAUAGAUGGCGUUUAAGCACGUGACCUACACCCGAUCAUAGGGGCAAGUGCCAGGCCCUGAUAAUUAGAAAGGUGCGGCAUUCGCUGCAAAACCUUAGGUGCGAGCCCAAGUGCUAGUGGCUGUCAGUGCAAAUCAUGGUGGUAGUAGAAAAUAUUCAAAUGAGAACUCUGAAUGCCAAAGAGCGGAAAGGUUCCAUGUUAACAGCACUUGCACAUGGGUUAGUCUAUCCUAAGGGUCGGGGAAACCCUGAUAGAUAGCGCGUUUUGUGCGUACUCCAAAAGAGAUUCGGAUUAAAAUUCCUAAACCAGGACGUAGUGGUCGAAGGCAAUGUUAGAAAGUUUGGAGAUGUCGGUGGGAGCCUCGGGAAGAGUUAUCUUUUCUAUUUAAUAUCUUGCCAACCCUGAAAUCGGUUUAGUUGAAGGUAGGGUCUAGUGACUGGAAGAGCACCACACGUCAUGUAGUGUCCGGUGCGCUCCUAGUGGCCCUUGAAAAUCUGGAGGACUGAAUGUCUUCCACCCCUGGUCAUACUCGUAACCGCAUCAGGUCUCCAAGGUAAACAACCUCUGGUCGAUGGAAUAAUAUAGGCAAGGGUAGUCGGCAAAAUAGAUCUGUAACUUUGGGAAAAGAAUUAGCUCUGAGGAAUAGGAACGAGGGUCCCAGUCCUGAACCCAUCGGCUGUUAGUGGACUACUAAAGCUGCUUCUACGGCGAGAAUGGGUCACCACGGGCCGGCCAGGGGACGGACUAGGAACGGUUCCUUCGGGGGCCUUCUCCGUGCGUCGAACAGCCAACUCAGAACUGGUAUGAACAAGGGAAAUCCGAGCGUUUAAUUAAAAUAAAGCAUUGCAAUGGUCCCAACGGAUGUUCAUGCAAUGUGAUUUCUGCCCCAGUU